UUUUUUUAGAAUAAGUCACGAUAUGCUCAUUUGGUUCUCUCUUCUCACCCAAACCCUAACCAUUCUCUCCACCCAUAUCCCUUCCGCCGCAGAGCUCAGAGCCUCCUUCCUCAUAGCCUCCACCGCCGCUCCCGACGGGGCUUCCGUCGUUGCCGCCGUUGAAGUCUCUCCUGCCGCCCUCGUCGCGGUUGUGCUUCUGGCCGUUCAUGUUCUCGUCAGUUGCUUUUUCUCUCGCUAUUUACUUCUUGCAGGCCUGCCCCACUGCUACUGAUGUUUAAAAAUUAAGCGAAGAACAUAUGGAAAUUGCUAUGGCGAGCGAAUAGAGAGACAGAAACAGGGGAGGCAGAAUUGAGCUGGGAUGAUUACAAGAAAAUGGACUUCACACAAUGUGUCUUGAUGUUUGAACAACUUCUAUGCACUUCGUUUUUGCCCAGAGGCCAUGGAGUUCAUCAAUUCAAAACAAUUUAUUAGGCAGAGAAAUAAUAAAGAAGAGUUUUCUUACGUUUAGUAAACAAAUCUUAUGAUACUCAAGAGAUCGUAUCAGUCUUUUAUUAUGUUCCUUUAUAUGAUAAUUUAUAGGGGCUAUUAGUGAGUACACCCUCUUUAAUAUUAUUUUAAUAGGGAUGAGUCCAGCUCCUUUUCCUUUAUUAGUGAGAAACUCAUUCUUUUUUUAUUCUCAAAUUUACCCUCCCAC